rnacentral:rRNA from 1 species
ACGCUCGACACCUACGGGAGGCUGCAGUGGGGAAUAUUGCACAAUGGGGGAAACCCUGAUGCAGCGACGCCGCGUGAGCGAAGAAGUAUUUCGGUAUGUAAAGCUCUAUCAGCAGGGAAGAUAAUGACGGUACCUGACUAAGAAGCUCCGGCUAAAUACGUGCUAGCAGCCGCGGUAAUCUGAGCGGGCUGGCAAGGC